GGGCUUGACAUCCCACGAACCUGCCCGAAAAGGUAGGGUGCCCGCAAGGGAGCGUGGAGACAGGUAGUGCAUGGCUGUCGUCAGCUCGUGUCGUGAGAUGUUGGGUUAAGUCCCGCAACGAGCGCAACCCUCACCCCUAGUUGCCACCGGGUUAAGCCGAGCACUCAAGGGGAACUGCCAGCGUCAAGCUGGAGGAAGGCGGGGAUGACGUCAAGUCAUCAUGCCCCUUACGCCCUGGGCUACACACGUGCUACAAUGGCCAGUACAAAGGGACGCGAGACUGCGAAGUGGAGCUAAUCCCAAAAAGCUGGUCUAAGUUCAGAUUGCAGUCUGCAACUCGACUGCAUGAAGGAGGAAUCGCUAGUAAUCGCGCAUCAGCCCGGCGCGGUGAAUACGUUCCCGGGCUUUGUACACACCGCCCGUCACACCACGAAAGCUGUCUGUACUCGAAGUCGCUGAG
rnacentral:rRNA from 1 species